AAUCCAUAAUAUGGGCAUCUCCUAAGAAACUCCUUGAAUCUUUCCCAUUCUUCAAAUUAUGAUUCAUUAUCCGUAUACAUAAAAUUAGUAAUAUCAUUAUGCAUUU
rfam:Eucalyptus grandis cultivar BRASTZ1 unplaced genomic scaffold scaffold_2, whole genome shotgun sequence.